ensembl:lncRNA
UCCAGAUUAAAUGGUUGUGGUUACACUCUCCUCUUCUAAAAUGUCUUAGGUUAGUUUCUGUUGUGGAAGCCUGUUUACGUCCCUCCGCAUUCCUGUGACACCAACUUAUUUCCCUGUUCAGGUAAUGAAGAUUCCCCACCUUCCAUGUGAACAGGCCAGAUGCCUCUGCAUUCUUCCCCCAGGUGCUUUAGAGCUGAUUUUAACUGCCUGGCUUCUUCUGCACGCUCACAUUUGCUUUGCAGCAUCGACCAGAAAGAAGGCUCCCCGUGUCUUCGGCCAUGGCCUCCGAUAGCCCCUCCUCCCAAGCAGCUUCCACCUACCUGACCGCGCACACCAACGAGAUGGUGGAGCUGCAGCACCUGAACGGCCGCUUAACCAGCUACAUCGAGAGGUUGCACUUCCUGGAGCAGCAGAACCAGACGCUGGCGGCGGAGGUGAAGCGGCUGCGAGGCCGUAAGCUCACGCGCUUUGAAAGGCUCAUGGAGCAGACUCCCCAGAAGGAGGACGUGGAGAGCAACCUGGCUGCUUCCGGGGGGGUGACGCCUGUGUAGCGUGUCUCCACCCACAGCUUCUCCACAACGCAGAAGAAGCUCCUCCUGACGUUUCUCGUAUGUCUUCCUUCAUGUGCAGAGCUGCUGACCGUUAAAAGCAAUGUGGACGCCUCUGACCCGUUUGUCUUACUAUGCUAAAAAUCACAGCUCAACAUUGUUAAGGAACAACAAGGCAGCUCGCUGAGGUAGAGUGAAGAAAAGAGGAUGUCUUCAGAGAUACAGAACAGCGGAGCGAAGUGAAUGACCAGCGAGAGAAGAGGCCUAAGGGGCACGUGUGAGGGAGUAACGCUGUACAUCAGUAACAACGUUGUAUCUUUACCGUGAAGGACAUGAGUGAGUCUCUGUACCUGCAACAUCUGCUCCACCGUCAGCUUCAUCAACGGGUCGACAUCAUGUGAGGAGGAGCAGAGAGAAGAAGAGACGACGAGGGACAAGAACAUAGAGACUCUUCUGGGUUAAAGCGUGAGCAGCAGAGUGAUGCUGUUAUUCACUCUAUUGGGAUGUAUUUAUCUGUGGUUUAAUGUAUAUAUAUUAUAUUAUAUUUCCGAGAAUAACUGAGACGGACUUGAUUUGUUUUUUGUAUCAAUUCACAAUAAAAUGAACAUAAUUGCAUCAGAGAGGCUGCUGACAAAUAAAAGAAUUUUCCAAUGGCCUAAAAAAUAAAAC